CGGGGCGUAGCGCAGUCUGGUAGCGCGCCUGCUUCGGGAGCAGGAAGUCGCUGGUUCGAUUCCAGUCGCCCCGACCA
rnacentral:tRNA from 1 species